CUCUUACCAGCGGGAAGUCAUCAGGAUCAAUCCAGAUGAUACUGAGGUCGGGGUUCUCAGUGUUGUCUUGGGCCACAGCCUUGAGAGUCUCUAAGAACUCAUAGCCAUCUUGGAGGGAGCAGAAGUAAAAGUGAGGAGGAACAGACAGGAAAGGGACACAGGAAACGAGUCCAGACCUAUUUCCCUACCUCCUACGACACCAACACCUUUCAAGCCCUAGGCUGCUUGCAAACUCCCAGGAAUGCCUUCCAUGUGAGGCCUACGAUCCAACAAAUACACCCCCUUCCCCCAGGCCGCUCCAGUGUCCUCUCCUCACCAGGAUCUGCUUCCUCUGCAAAGGCGACAAUGUGGAUUCCAUCCAGGUCAUCCUCCUGUUGGAGGGGAUCCUGUCAGCUCCAGAGUUUGAGUCAGCCUUGUCAUAUUCAUUGUCAUGCCUGUCACUUGAGACCUGACAUGGUCUUCGGUACAGAAACAAAACAAAUAAAAACCAACCCACGUGC
ensembl:antisense Gm17224 predicted gene 17224